rnacentral:ncRNA from 1 species
GGGGACCUUCGGGGCCCUACAACCAACGCGCUUUCAUCUGAUGGAUGCGUGCCAAGCAAACGGAAGACAGAGA